GCCUCUCAGCUCUCACCACCAACACUCUGAUCUCGUCGUUAUCGAAGAACCACUUCGUGCCUCUCACCACCAACACUCUGUUCUCACCACCACCACUUCGUGCCUCUCACAACCCAAAUACGUUUCGCCGUCGUCGCACCAACCACUCGAGAUCCAUCGGUGUCGCCACUCCAGAACCACAGCUCCUCUUCCACACUCACCGCUCCUCUUCCCCACUCGAUGCUAACCACUCGAGAGCCAUCAGUCGCUAGCAUUGGUAUUCAGCAUCGUCAGCUUUGGUUGUCAGCAUCGUCAGCACCAACCACUCGACGCUAACCCCAAAUACGUUUCGAUGCGUGCUCAAUUGCUCACAUUGCUCGUCAGCAUCGUCCUCCUGUCGCUCACCAUCAUGGUGGUGAAGACUACUACAUGUUCUGAAGACCAGGAGGAAGACCAAGGCGGAGAAGAAUCCAUUUCCAGCACUUGAUUAUCAGAUUACUUUAUUGCAAGCUGGAGAAGAAACAUGGUUUCUGAACUUGAGAUUCAACUUUUAUCUCAGUUAAAGUAAGUAAUCAAACAAGUUCUCCUGGUUCUGUUCACAUUGAUAAUUUGGAUAAGUUUGAGCAUUUUGAUGAUUUCACUAUAGCUUCUUCAUGGGAAAGGUUCAUUUCUAAAAUUGAGGCAAUUUGUCUUCUGUGGAUGGCUGAUGGUCCUAACAAUUUAUUGGUAUGCUUGUUUAAUUUCAAUUUAUUGGUAUGCUUUGCUCUGGAUUAAGUUAAAGGGUACUUCAUUUUGUACCUUUAUCUAUAUAUGCUAUACCUGCAUGCAAAUGGGCGUUGAAUUCUUUGGAUAUGCAUGGCUUAGUUAGCAUUUAAUUGGUUCAACAGUAUGGACUCUUGAAAUAUAUUAAAAAUAUAUAUGAUUUUUUUUCCUACCCAAUUGCAUAGGUAGUCAAAUAAUGCACACUUAGGAAAUAGUUUCUUUUUGAUUCCGUGGUUUAUUCUUCUUAAGUGACUUGCAUAAUACAUAUUAGUGUUUUACAUGUAGAAGAUCAAAGUUUGUGAGAUUGAGGGAUUGCCAAUAGACUAAAAUGUAUUCAUAGCUUCUCCUAACCUGAUCAAGCAUGGUGGGGCUACAGAUUUAAUAUGGUUUAAGGUAUCAAGCCCAUGAACUCCAAGGGAGAAGCUUACCAAAUAAUGCUAUCAACUUUUUUCCUGCAUGAUAAUGAUGAUGAUUAUUGCUAUUUUUA